rnacentral:lncRNA from 1 species
UGAGAUAUAUUUUUUUCGGUUGCACAUCAAGCGACGGCUCUCCCGAUCCGAUCGGGAGCAGGGCGGCGGCGGCAUGUCUCCGGGAGGCGGGGAACGGCGUGGAAACAACGGACGACGAGGCGCGGCGGAUCAGAUCAGGAUAGAGCGCGGCGGAUCAGAUCAGGAUCGAGCAUGGCGGUGCGUAGUGGAGGCCGCUGGCGGCGACAUGGCUCCGAAAGGCGGGGAACGGCGUGGAAACAACAGACGACGAUGCGAGGCGGAUCAGAUCAGGAUCAAGCGCGGCGGUGCGUAGUGGAGGCCGUCGGCGACAGCGCUCCAUGGCCAUGGCGGCUCGGCCUUGUGGGAAGAAGAGACGAGGGAGAGAGAGGAGGUGAGAUGGAGAGAAGUGAUGGAGAGCAAAGGUGACACAGAUUCGUUUUGCUAGUCCCGCGGUGGCUCCGAUCGGCUGAUCAAGGUACGUGUCCUGAUUUCUCUCCUCCCUGUAAAAAAAAUUAUGCCUUGUCGUUGCUAGCUGUUAGAUAUGCCUUCAUAAGUUCGGAAUGUGACCAACAACAACCUACAGGUCGGGUGAGAGUUCAGUGGCAUGGGCAUCCUCUCCCGUGAUUUAUUUUGCAUGGAAGAUUUUGUUGUGGUAUGUGUGGGCAGCACCCUUGAGAGUUGGGUACAUGUUCAGUAGAUAUAACAACUUUUCUGGUGACUUCCUCAUCUAAUGUUCGGAUGCAAUUUUUGGAACAGUGAAUGCACGCAUGAGAG